rnacentral:misc_RNA from 1 species
GAUGAAGAACGUAGCGAAUUGCGAUAAGUAAUGUGAAUUGCAGAUUUUCAGUGAAUCAUCGAAUCUUUGAACGCACAUUGCGCCCGGUAGUAUUCUGCCGGGCAUGCCUGUUCGAGCGUCAUUUCAACCAUCAAGCCCCAGCGCUUGUGUUGGGGGCCUGCGGCUGCCGCAGCCCCCCAAAAGCAGUGGCGGGCUCGCUAUCACACCGAGUGCAGUAGUUCAUCUUCUCUCCGGUCUUGUGAGGCGGGUUCCGGCCGUGAAACACCCCACUACAUUCAAGGUUGACCUCGGAUCAGGUAGGAAUACCCGCUGAACUUAAGCAUAUCAAUAAGCGGAGGA